AGUGAAUGUAAAAUAUUUGUUAAUCGUUUGAGGAUCAAUUAUAAAAUUGUUAGCUAAUGAUCUAAUUCUGAUGGUUAAACAAAGCUAAUCACUAACACAGGUCCUGCAGGAUUUUAGGUUGUCUAAUGGAAUCCAUUUGUUCCUUAGUGACCUUAUAGGCUUAUAGGCUUUAGAUUGUGUCUGAUAAUCCUCAUUUUGUCCUAGUAGAAUUAUUUUUUAAAUUUAAUUUUUUAGUUUUUAAUUUUUUUUAUAUAUGUGAGAGAAAGAG
rnacentral:lncRNA from 1 species